ACGCUGGCGGCAGGCCUAACACAUGCAAGUCGAGCGGAUGAGAGGAGCUUGCUCUUGGAUUCAGCGGCGGACGGGUGAGUAAUGCCUAGGAAUCUGCCUGGUAGUGGGGGACAACGUUUCGAAAGGAACGCUAAUACCGCAUACGUCCUACGGGAGAAAGCAGGGGACCUUCGGGCCUUGCGCUAUCAGAUGAGCCUAGGUCGGAUUAGCUAGUUGGUGAGGUAAUGGCUCACCAAGGCGACGAUCCGUAACUGGUCUGAGAGGAUGAUCAGUCACACUGGAACUGAGACACGGUCCAGACUCCUACGGGAGGCAGCAGUGGGGAAUAUUGGACAAUGGGCGAAAGCCUGAUCCAGCCAUGCCGCGUGUGUGAAGAAGGUCUUCGGAUUGUAAAGCACUUUAAGUUGGGAGGAAGGGCAGUAAAUUAAUACUUUGCUGUUUUGACGUUACCGACAGAAUAAGCACCGGCUAACUCUGUGCCAGCAGCCGCGGUAAUACAGAGGGUGCAAGCGUUAAUCGGAAUUACUGGGCGUAAAGCGCGCGUAGGUGGUUCGUUAAGUUGGAUGUGAAAUCCCCGGGCUCAACCUGGGAACUGCAUUCAAAACUGUCGAGCUAGAGUAUGGUAGAGGGUGGUGGAAUUUCCUGUGUAGCGGUGAAAUGCGUAGAUAUAGGAAGGAACACCAGUGGCGAAGGCGACCACCUGGACUGAUACUGACACUGAGGUGCGAAAGCGUGGGGAGCAAAC
rnacentral:rRNA from 1 species